rnacentral:sRNA from 1 species
UGACCAGGUAAUGGCUGAGGAGCGCGAA